UAGCUAGUUGGUAGGGUAAUGGCCUACCAAGGCAACGAUGCAUAGCCGACCUGAGAGGGUGAUCGGCCACACUGGGACUGAGACACGGCCCAGACUCCUACGGGAGGCAGCAGUAGGGAAUCUUCGGCAAUGGACGAAAGUCUGACCGAGCAACGCCGCGUGAGUGAAGAAGGUUUUCGGAUCGUAAAACUCUGUUGUUAGAGAAGAACAAGGAUGAGAGUAAAAUGUCAUCCCUGACGGUAUUAACCAGAAAGC
rnacentral:rRNA from 1 species